rnacentral:rRNA from 1 species
GAUGAACGCUGGCGGCGUGCCUAACACAUGCAAGUCGAGCGAGAAGCUUAUGACGGAUCCUUCGGAUGACGGAUUAAGUGGAAAGCGGCGGACGGGUGAGUAACGCGUGAGAAUCUGCCUGUGGGUCGGGGACAACCACUGGAAACGGUGGCUAAUACCGGAUGAGCCGAAAGGUAAAAGAUUUAUUGCCCACAGAUGAGCUCGCGUCUGAUUAGCUAGUUGGUAAGGUAAAAGCGUACCAAGGCGACGAUCAGUAGCUGGUCUGAGAGGAUGAGCAGCCACACUGGGACUGAGACACGGCCCAGACUCCUACGGGAGGCAGCAGUGGGGAAUUUUCCGCAAUGGGCGAAAGCCUGACGGAGCAAGACCGCGUGGGGGAGGAAGGUUUUGGAUCGUAAACCCUUUUGUCAAGGAGAAGCUCUGACGGUACUUGACGAAUAAGCCUCGGCUAAC